rnacentral:rRNA from 1 species
AUUGAACGCUGGCGGCAGGCUUAACACAUGCAAGUCGGACGGUAACAGGAGGAAAGCUUGCUUUCUUUGCUGACGAGUGGCGGACGGGUGAGUAAUGCUUGGGAAUCUGUUUUAUGGAGGGGGAUAACUACGGGAAACUGUAGCUAAUACCGCGUAAUAUCGAGAGAUUAAAGUGUGGGACCGUAAGGCCACAUGCCAUAGAGUGAGCCCAAGUGGGAUUAGGUAGUUGGUGGGGUAAAGGCCUACCAAGCCGUCGAUCUCUAGCUGGUCUGAGAGGAUGACCAGCCACACUGGGACUGAGACACGGCCCAGACUCCUACGGGAGGCAGCAGUGGGGAAUAUUGCACAAUGGGCGCAAGCCUGAUGCAGCCAUGCCGCGUGAAUGAAGAAGGCCUUCGGGUUGUAAAGUUCUUUCGGUGGUGAGGAAGGUUGUAAUGUUAAUAGCAUUAUAAUUUGACGUUAGCCACAGAAGAAGCACCGGCUAACUCCGUGCCAGCAGCCGCGGUAAUACGGAGGGUGCGAGCGUUAAUCGGAAUAACUGGGCGUAAAGGGCACGCAGGCGGAUACUUAAGUGAGGUGUGAAAGCCCUGGGCUUAACCUAGGAAUUGCAUUUCAUACUGGGUAUCUAGAGUAUUUUAGGGAGGGGUAGAAUUCCACGUGUAGCGGUGAAAUGCGUAGAGAUGUGGAGGAAUACCGAAGCGAAGGCAGCCCCUUGGGGGAAUACUGACGCUCAUGUGCGAAAGCGUGGGGAGCAAACAGG